CAAGGAUAAAGCUGAAACUGCAGAGAGCCCGGCAUUCAGAUUUCCAUUCUGCUGUAAAUUUAAUGCAAAUCUUCAGUUCAAGUGCACAGAAUUUGUUUAAAAACCCUGAAGAUGCUUUCAUGAUCUACACAUCUGUCAUUGCUGUUGCUUAUCACCGUUCCUGGGAAUCUGGCACUUCAUCAGCCGUCUUUCUUUCCAUGUAAUGAACACUGUUCUCCCUGACUCAGGUGACCUUUAUAACCCUAAUCUUAUAUUUGUCAUAAUGCCCCUCACACAGCUAAGGCAAACCAUAGUUGAAUAUCAUUACAGGUUUAAUAAUAACAGAAGGGAAAUUCAAUAGGGAAAGUUAUUUACAAUUCCUACAAGAUGCGGCUAUUCUUAGAAACUAUAGACAAAGACUUUCCCGUAUCAUAAAAUUAGCUAUCUGUCUGGAAUAGCCCUGAAAAUACUUAAUAUUUAUAUGCAAAGUUACUCUCAAUCAAUCACUCUUUUAUGUCCGGUAUUGAUACCUCUUCUCAGGAUGAUUUACAGUGGAAAAGCCAAAUUUCUCCCAAAUUCUGCCCUUAUGAUGACCUUGUAUAAUGGCCACUAAUAGUACAAUUCAUUAUACUACUGUAGUCAAAAUCAGCAUAGUUCUCAAGAUACAUGGUAAUCAUUGUUGAAUAAGUUAUGACAAAGCUGAAUUUAGCCAUCGCUGGUCCACUUACUUUUUAGAAUUUAUUCUCCCUCUACACGUGCCCAUAGAGAUCACUGUAUUUUCCUCCAGAGUUUUAUCCUGUAUGUAGAUCCUGAAAAAUUAGUUCUCAUUGCAUUGAAUAAUAUUUUCUCAUUUUCUUUGUUUUUUUUAUCUUUUAUUUUUAACAUCUCAUUAACAGAAAACUGCAGGAAAUUCAGAAGGUACAAAUGAACAAGCUAAAACAUUUGUAUUACUUGGUAAUACAAACAGUAUUACCAAAUAAUGACCACUCUCAAAAUAACAUUUGUUCUUUCUAUUUGUAUAUAUUUAUAGUCAUAUUAAAAUGGUUUAUAUUGGAAUAUCAUUUUCCAUUUCAUAACGUAGCAUUACUGAGACAAGUAUUACAUGUUUAUGAUUUCAUAGGAUUCCAUGAAUAGAUAUGAUAUAAAUCAUUUAAUCUGUCAGCAGUAAGAUAUUUAGAUUUAUUCUAAUCAUUCACUAUUAUUUGAGAGCUGUCAUGAACAUUCCUGUAGCUAUAUGCUUAACAUAAAUUUCUUGGGAAUUGCUGGGCUAAAUUACAUAAUUUUUUAAAAUUAUGAUAAAUAAUAUCAAAUUGACUUCCAUGCCAACUAGGAAUCCAUGCGAAUGACUAUUGUCCUAUACUUGUACCAACAUUUUUAUUCCUUCCCCUCUCCUUCUCCUCCUCCCCCUUUUUCUGCAAUAUUUAGAAAUUUGAAUAGUUAACCAUGGUUUUUUAAUUUUUUAGUUUGUAUUUCUUUCCUAACAAGGCUUAAUAUUUUAAAAAUAUUAGUCUUUUGUACUUUUGUUAUUUGUUUGGCUAGAUCCUUUAUCUUGUUUUUAGUAAAAGUAUUUCUCUU
rnacentral:lncRNA from 10 species